GAUGAACGCUGGCGGCGUGCCUAAUACAUGCAAGUAGAACGCUGAAGGAGGAGCUUGCUCUUCUGGAUGAGUUGCGAACGGGUGAGUAACGCGUAGGUAACCUGCCUGGUAGCGGGGGAUAACUAUUGGAAACGAUAGCUAAUACCGCAUGACAACAGUUAUUGCAUGAUAACUGUUUAAAAGGGGCAACUGCUCCACUACCAGAUGGACCUGCGUUGUAUUAGCUAGUUGGUGAGGUAACGGCUCACCAAGGCGACGAUACAUAGCCGACCUGAGAGGGUGAUCGGCCACACUGGGACUGAGACACGGCCCAGACUCCUACGGGAGGCAGCAGUAGGGAAUCUUCGGCAAUGGACGGAAGUCUGACCGAGCAACGCCGCGGGAGUGAAGAAGGUUUUCGGAUCGUAAAGCUCUGUUGUAAGAGAAGAACGAGUGUGAGAGUGGAAAGUUCACACUGUGACGGUAUCUUACCAGAAAGAGACGGCUAACUACGUG
rnacentral:rRNA from 1 species